rnacentral:rRNA from 1 species
CCCUUAGAUGUUCUGGGCCGCACGCGCGCUACACUGACGGAGGCAGCGAGCAUGUCCUUCGCCGAGAGGUGUGGGGAAUCUUGUGAGUCUCCGUCGUGCUGGGGAUAGAUGGUUGCAAUUGUCGAUCUUGAACGAGGAAUUCCUAGUAAGCGCGAGUCAUCAGCUCGCGCUGAUUACGUCCCUGCCCUUUGUACACACCGCCCGUCGCUACUACCGAUUGAGAGAUUCAGUAAACCUUCUGGAGUGGGUAGGAUCUUCAAGGUUCAAUCUGCGAAGUUAAGUAAACUAUUAUCUCUUAGAGGAAGGAGAAGUCGUAACA